UUAUGGUCAUAUCAUGUUGAAAUACCAGUUCCCAUACGAUCACCAAAGCUAAGCAAUGUUGAGCCUGGUCAGUACCUAGGUGGGUGACUGCUUGGGAAUACUAGGUGCUGUAAG
rnacentral:rRNA from 1 species